rnacentral:antisense_RNA from 1 species
GACCACAGCAGCCUGCUUCCCGCCGCGCAUGCAGAGCCCGGACGCGCGUGAGUCGGGGGCCCGCAGAGGCCUCACCCUUGGAGGUCGCCGCUUGUCAGGCCUGACUGCUGUUGGCGCCCGCCCCGCUGCCCCCGAGGGGCCGCUCGGGGCCGGACUGCUGCUUUGCCGCGGCGGGACCCACCCGGGACGUGGCGCUGCGGGCCGGGGCGGUCCAGCUGCAAUCCCUACUCCCUGCCAAAGGAGAACCCAGUUACUGAACAUCGGAUGAGACCAUGGAUAGUAAAUUGGGAGUGAAGGUCCAUACCUGGGUCUCAGAAGCACAGUACAGUUACACCAGCCUCCUGAGUAUGAUAGCAACAUUCCUUUAGGGAUUAAAGAAAAUGCUUCAGAAGAUUGGAACACUACUCAGCCGUCCCAAACUUCUUUUACCACUAUGUUUCUACCUUAGUGAUCUUCCUCCUUAUUUUAAUGCUUCUUUCUCUUUACAAUUAAAAGUUCAUAAAAUCUUUCAACAUUAUUUUUCACUAUAAAAGUCUGA